AUUGAACGCUGGCGGCAUGCUUUACACAUGCAAGUCGAACGGUAACAGGCCUUCGGGUGCUGGCGAGUGGCGAACGGGUGAGUAAUGCAUCGGAACGUACCCAGAGGUGGGGGAUAACGCAGCGAAAGCUGUGCUAAUACCGCAUGUGAUCUGAGGAUGAAAGCGGGGGACCGAGCAGCAAUGUUUGGCCUCGCGCCUUUGGAGCGGCCGAUGUCGGAUUAGCUAGUUGGUGGGGUAAAGGCCUACCAAGGCGACGAUCCGUAGCUGGUCUGAGAGGACGACCUGCCACACUGGGACUGAGACACGGCCCAGACUCCUACGGGAGGCAGCAGUGGGGAAUUUUGGACAAUGGGCGCAAGCCUGAUCCAGCAAUGCCGCGUGCGGGAAGAAGGCCUUCGGGUUGUAAACCGCUUUUGGCAGGAACGAAACGGUGUCCGCUAAUACCGGGCGCUAAUGACGGUACCUGCAGAAUAAGCACCGGCUAACUACGUG
rnacentral:rRNA from 1 species